CAUGAGCAGCUCUGUUACCACGCCUACUAUAAUACGAAAGUGACCAAAAAGAAUGUGCUAACAGCCUAAGCUUAAUAUCAUCUGUGAUCUAUCCCAACCAGGAGUGAUUUGUGGCACUACCAACUAUAUUAACAACUGUCGUGGCAUCCCCUCAAACUCAACCUUACUCAGCCCCAAUUCAUCACCCAAUAUAACUGCCGUCAAUAAAGCAAAACCUUCAACAGCAGUUGCAGAUAUGACAGACUCUUUUGGUGAGUAAGAACAACCACAAUAUUCCCUUUGCAGUCUCUAAUAACAAUUCAUAUUCCCAUCUGUGAACUUUGUUUAUCAAAAGCAGCAUCUACGUUAACCUUUAAAUAAUCAUCUGGUGGCUGUUUCCAAAUCUGCACUUGGGCUGUAUCGGGUUGUCUGUUCUCCAUCUGUUAUGUAUCUCGAUUCCCAUGUUGCACCUGUUUAAACAAGUCUACUUUAGCAGCUCCACAGUAAGGUGGGGUCCUUAAAUUUAUUAUGAAAGAUAAACUCAUUUCUUCUUCUUCAAAUACCAUGCAUCACAGUAGCCACAUAAUCCAACUGAUCAGCCUCCAGUCUAGCCUGCAAGUCUAUCCAUAAAGAGAUAAAAUCUGGGAAUCUUCUAUUUCAUUUCUUAACAAAACUAUUCGAGGCCCAUACAUCACCUGCAGCUGGACACUCCCAAAGUAUGUGUAUUGCCAUUUCCACCUCUUGCAAAGAGAUUGGACACAGAGAACUAUCUGUUAUGUUCCUAUGGUGUAGCUUGCCUUUGGUUGGCAGUAUAUCAUUCAGAGCUUUCCACACCAUAUGUUUUACCUUUUCAGGUGUUGCUAGGCAUGUUUAUACGGUCUGGAACCCGGAUAAUGAGAUUUCGGUUACAGAUUUCGGCUUGAAUUUGAUCCGGACCUAAAUCUGGAUUAUAAUACCCUGACCUAUAUGGUCCGGUUGCAGGUAAGGAAACCGGGUUCCGGAUUUACAAUCCGGUACCCGGGUUUAUAUACGUUGAAAACAAAUACAACCUUAUAAGGAAAUCGGGUUCGUCUUCUCAAUGCUAGGAACCUAUUUGACGAGGUAGCUCUCUUCAAAUAGGUUCCUCACGCCGAUAGAGUCCUGACAGAGACCCAUAGCACUCUCUGUGCUCAGGCCUCUCUUUCACGCGAAAUCGCCUCAUCCUUGUGACCCAAGAUACCUUGGAAUGACGAUGAUGAAAUGCUACAGCUUGUGUAGCUUUUGUUCAGGUGAGGAGCUUGUCUCGUAAGACCACCAUGGGGAUUCCAGUGCGCAUAUACUGAGUUCUUGGCCAAAGGAGUUCUAUAAUACUUUUAAGCAAAUUUUUUUCCCUUCCAAUUGUCAUAUUUUCUUACUGUUUAGAGGCCGUUUUACCUUUUGUUCGUUAAAUGCGUAGAUGUUACACUUCCUUCGUUGGAGAAUUGAAGCCUAUUUAUCUUUUUCACUUGUGCUAUGAUGCAUUGUCGAAUAUCAAAAAGUCCAAACGUUUUGUACUUUCAUUGCUGCUAUUGUUUUGCUUAGCUUCUCUCUACCAUUGCCCCCAACAUACAUAAUGUUUUUAUGAGAAUAUUUGUUCUCUCUGUAAUAGCGUGAAAAUUUUGAUGGGUUUGUUUGUUUUGUCAAAUUUAUCUGCACCUUGCUAACAAUAUGAAGUCUAUUUUUGUAGGAAUUACCUCACAUUGCUUUGGCUUCCAAGGAUCACUUUCAGGCCAAUCACUUUGAAGUUGCUAUUUGGUAUGGAAAUUAAAUUACUGAUUUUGUGAUUCAUAUAUUGUAAUUUGGUAUUUCGUAAUGUAAUGUAUAAAUAACAAAUAAUAUAAUAUAUAGUGGAUUGUAUUGUAAUGCAUGCA